rnacentral:rRNA from 1 species
UACGAAGGGGGCUAGCGUUGUUCGGAUUUACUGGGCGUAAAGCGCACGUAGGCGGGUCGUUAAGUCAGGGGUGAAAUCCCGGAGCUCAACUCCGGAACUGCCUUUGAUACUGGCGACCUUGAGGCCGGAAGAGGUUAGUGGAAUUCCCAGUGUAGAGGUGAAAUUCGUAGAUAUUGGGAAGAACACCAGUGGCGAAGGCGGCUAACUGGUCCGAUCGUG